rnacentral:rRNA from 1 species
UUAAGCGACUAAGCGUACACGGUGGAUGCCCUGGCAGUCAGAGGCGAUGAAGGACGUGCUAAUCUGCGAUAAGCGUCGGUAAGGUGAUAUGAACCGUUAUAACCGGCGAUUUCCGAAUGGGGAAACCCAGUGUGUUUCGACACACUAUCAUUAACUGAAUCCAUAGGUUAAUGAGGCGAACCGGGGGAACUGAAACAUCUAAGUACCCCGAGGAAAAGAAAUCAACCGAGAUUCCCCCAGUAGCGGCGAGCGAACGGGGAGGAGCCCAGAGCCUGAAUCAGUGUGUGUGUUAGUGGAAGCGUCUGGAAAGGCGCGCGAUACAGGGUGACAGCCCCGUACACAAAAAUGCACAUGCUGUGAGCUCGAUGAGUAGGGCGGGACACGUGGUAUCCUGUCUGAAUAUGGGGGGACCAUCCUCCAAGGCUAAAUACUCCUGACUGACCGAUAGUGAACCAGUACCGUGAGGGAAAGGCGAAAAGAACCCCGGCGAGGGGAGUGAAAAAGAACCUGAAACCGUGUACGUACAAGCAGUGGGAGCACGCUUCGGCGUGUGACUGCGUACCUUUUGUAUAAUGGGUCAGCGACUUAUAUUCUGUAGCAAGGUUAACCGAAUAGGGGAGCCGAAGGGAAACCGAGUCUUAACUGGGCGUUAAGUUGCAGGGUAUAGACCCGAAACCCGGUGAUCUAGCCAUGGGCAGGUUGAAGGUUGGGUAACACUAACUGGAGGACCGAACCGACUAAUGUUGAAAAAUUAGCGGAUGACUUGUGGCUGGGGGUGAAAGGCCAAUCAAACCGGGAGAUAGCUGGUUCUCCCCGAAAGCUAUUUAGGUAGCGCCUCGUGAAUUCAUCUCCGGGGGUAGAGCACUGUUUCGGCAAGGGGGUCAUCCCGACUUACCAACCCGAUGCAAACUGCGAAUACCGGAGAAUGUUAUCACGGGAGACACACGGCGGGUGCUAACGUCCGUCGUGAAGAGGGAAACAACCCAGACCGCCAGCUAAGGUCCCAAAGUCAUGGUUAAGUGGGAAACGAUGUGGGAAGGCCCAGACAGCCAGGAUGUUGGCUUAGAAGCAGCCAUCAUUUAAAGAAAGCGUAAUAGCUCACUGGUCGAGUCGGCCUGCGCGGAAGAUGUAACGGGGCUAAACCAUGCACCGAAGCUGCGGCAGCGACGCUUAUGCGUUGUUGGGUAGGGGAGCGUUCUGUAAGCCUGUGAAGGUGUGCUGUGAGGCAUGCUGGAGGUAUCAGAAGUGCGAAUGCUGACAUAAGUAACGAUAAAGCGGGUGAAAAGCCCGCUCGCCGGAAGACCAAGGGUUCCUGUCCAACGUUAAUCGGGGCAGGGUGAGUCGACCCCUAAGGCGAGGCCGAAAGGCGUAGUCGAUGGGAAACAGGUUAAUAUUCCUGUACUUGGUGUUACUGCGAAGGGGGGACGGAGAAGGCUAUGUUGGCCGGGCGACGGUUGUCCCGGUUUAAGCGUGUAGGCUGGUUUUCCAGGCAAAUCCGGAAAAUCAAGGCUGAGGCGUGAUGACGAGGCACUACGGUGCUGAAGCAACAAAUGCCCUGCUUCCAGGAAAAGCCUCUAAGCAUCAGGUAACAUCAAAUCGUACCCCAAACCGACACAGGUGGUCAGGUAGAGAAUACCAAGGCGCUUGAGAGAACUCGGGUGAAGGAACUAGGCAAAAUGGUGCCGUAACUUCGGGAGAAGGCACGCUGAUAUGUAGGUGAAGCGACUUGCUCGUGGAGCUGAAAUCAGUCGAAGAUACCAGCUGGCUGCAACUGUUUAUUAAAAACACAGCACUGUGCAAACACGAAAGUGGACGUAUACGGUGUGACGCCUGCCCGGUGCCGGAAGGUUAAUUGAUGGGGUUAGCGCAAGCGAAGCUCUUGAUCGAAGCCCCGGUAAACGGCGGCCGUAACUAUAACGGUCCUAAGGUAGCGAAAUUCCUUGUCGGGUAAGUUCCGACCUGCACGAAUGGCGUAAUGAUGGCCAGGCUGUCUCCACCCGAGACUCAGUGAAAUUGAACUCGCUGUGAAGAUGCAGUGUACCCGCGGCAAGACGGAAAGACCCCGUGAACCUUUACUAUAGCUUGACACUGAACAUUGAGCCUUGAUGUGUAGGAUAGGUGGGAGGCUUUGAAGUGUGGACGCCAGUCUGCAUGGAGCCGACCUUGAAAUACCACCCUUUAAUGUUUGAUGUUCUAACGUUGACCCGUAAUCCGGGUUGCGGACAGUGUCUGGUGGGUAGUUUGACUGGGGCGGUCUCCUCCUAAAGAGUAACGGAGGAGCACGAAGGUUGGCUAAUCCUGGUCGGACAUCAGGAGGUUAGUGCAAUGGCAUAAGCCAGCUUGACUGCGAGCGUGACGGCGCGAGCAGGUGCGAAAGCAGGUCAUAGUGAUCCGGUGGUUCUGAAUGGAAGGGCCAUCGCUCAACGGAUAAAAGGUACUCCGGGGAUAACAGGCUGAUACCGCCCAAGAGUUCAUAUCGACGGCGGUGUUUGGCACCUCGAUGUCGGCUCAUCACAUCCUGGGGCUGAAGUAGGUCCCAAGGGUAUGGCUGUUCGCCAUUUAAAGUGGUACGCGAGCUGGGUUUAGAACGUCGUGAGACAGUUCGGUCCCUAUCUGCCGUGGGCGCUGGAGAACUGAGGGGGGCUGCUCCUAGUACGAGAGGACCGGAGUGGACGCAUCACUGGUGUUCGGGUUGUCAUGCCAAUGGCACUGCCCGGUAGCUAAAUGCGGAAGAGAUAAGUGCUGAAAGCAUCUAAGCACGAAACUUGCCCCGAGAUGAGUUCUCCCUGACCCUUUAAGGGUCCUGAAGGAACGUUGAAGACGACGACGUUGAUAGGCCGGGUGUGUAAGCGCAGCGAUGCGUUGAGCUAACCGGUACUAAUGAACCGUGAGGCUUAACCUU